GACGAACGCUGGCGGCGUGCCUAAUACAUGCAAGUGGGACGCAAGGAAACACACUGUGCUUGCACACCGUGUUUUCUUGAGUCGCGAACGGGUGAGUAACGCGUAGGUAACCUGCCUAUUAGCGGGGGAUAACUAUUGGAAACGAUAGCUAAUACCGCAUAAUAUUAAUUAUUGCAUGAUAAUUGAUUGAAAGAUGCAAGCGCAUCACUAGUAGAUGGACCUGCGUUGUAUUAGCUAGUUGGUAAGGUAAGAGCUUACCAAGGCGACGAUACAUAGCCGACCUGAGAGGGUGAUCGGCCACACUGGGACUGAGACACGGCCCAGACUCCUACGGGAGGCAGCAGUAGGGAAUCUUCGGCAAUGGACGAAAGUCUGACCGAGCAACGCCGCGUGAGUGAAGAAGGUUUUCGGAUCGUAAAGCUCUGUUGUAAGUCAAGAACGUGUGUGAGAGUGGAAAGUCACACAAGGG
rnacentral:rRNA from 1 species